rnacentral:rRNA from 1 species
GACGGAGGGUGCUAGCGUUGUUCGGAAUUACUGGGCGUAAAGGGCUCGUAGGCGGCCAACUAAGUCAGACGUGAAAUCCCUAGGCUCAACCUAGGAACUGCGUCUGAUACUGGAUGGCUUGAAUCCGGGAGAGGGAUGCAGAAUUCCAGGUGUAGCGGUGAAAUGCGUAGAUAUCUGGAGGAAUACCGGUGGCGAAGGCGGCAUCCUGGACCGGCAUUGACGCUGAGGAGCGAAAGCCAGGGGAGCAAACGGG